ensembl:lncRNA
GUUUUAUACAUUUGGUCUCUGGAUGGCCUUAUGGCCAGGUCUCUAGGCUCAGCACCUUCUCAGGGUUGUGUGAGAGUCUGGUUACCCUGUUCAGGCUGAAAGCUGGACAGAAUGGAGGAUUCAGUCCUGAUUUACCUGGCUCUUCCCAUGGACUUCUGAAGGCCAACACAACCAUGCUCCUUAUUGAGGCAGCGCUGAAGACUGAUAGAAUUUGUAGUCCCAAAUGUGGGCAAUACUCACAGAAAUAGACUUCCAGCAGGAUCAAGAUGAGGGAAGAUGAAAGCUUUAUUGGGAGCCUCUUGUUUAUCUGUGAAGACCUUGUGCUAUCUCUACUUGUUGUCCUGCACGUAUGGAGUCCCAUUCUGAACUGGAGUCCAUUCAAAUCGCGAAACCCAACAAGCAUUUCCACUGAGAAGGAAGGAAUUUGCUCCACAAAGGCAUGGACACAAGUCAUUUCCCCAGAGGAACAUCAGAAGAAAAGCUUUAAUCUCCCAUCUAACACUCUGCAUAUAAAGUUACAGGUUAUCCUUUGCUUUGCAGAGGUUGCACUGUAAUAAUUGAGUCCUUUAUCUAUAACUGCCUCCGUCCAGGCUCCCUGGACUUUUGCAAUGACAAUAAAAGUUAAUAAAAGCUUUGGAAUAUAUUCUUA